rnacentral:tRNA from 1 species
UAGCUCAGUGGUAGAGCGCUUGCCUUGAAUGCAUGAGGCCCUGGGUUCAAUUCCUCAG